AAAAAAAAAUCUAGGAGAAUACUUGGGUCGGGUCGGUUGGGUGCAAUAGACAUUUUAGAGAGAGGUUCAAAACCCUACAGAGACAGGAGGUAGAGUUGGUGGUCUCCGGUCCGGUGGAAUCAAAAUGGUGCGGACCUCGUCAUCGAAGAAGCGGAAACACGAAGAUGAUGGAGGGGCAGGGGCAGAGGCAGAGGCAGAACCUGAGGUGGCGCAGCGGAAGAGGCUCAAAGCCCUCGCCUUCUCCAACAACCAGCUCUCGGAGAUCCCUGCAAAGCCCCGCGCGCCUCUCACACCUUCAAACGGUGUCCUUAAGCAGCAUGGCAAGGACAUUGUAAAGAAAUCUCAGCGGAAGAACAAGUUCCUCUUCUCCUUCCCUGGCCUCCUUGCCCCCAUUGGAGGUGGUAAGAUCGGCGACCUCAAGGAUUUGGACACCAAGAACCCCGUCCUCUACCUCCAAUUCCCUCAGGGUCAGAUGAAGUUGUUUGGGACUCUUGUGUUCCCCAAGAACAGGUAUCUGACAAUGCAGUUCCCCAAGGGUGGAAAGAGUGUCAUGUGCGAGGACUACUUCGAUAAUAUGAUUGUAUUUUCCGAUGCUUGGUGGAUUGGGACAAAAGAUCAGAAUCCCGAGGAAGCCCAACUUGAUUUUCCUAAGGAAUUGACUGAGGGACAACACUCUGAGUUCGACUUUCAAGGUGGUGCAGGUUCAACAUCUGCCAAAAAGCAAAGUGAUAGUAAAAAUGAAACUACAUAUGUUGAAGAGUAUUCCCCACAUAACAAGGUUGAAGAUAAUUUAUCAGAUGAGGAAAACAAUGAAUUAAUGAAGGCAACGGCAGUUCGACAUUCAGCAAGAACUGCAGGAAAAAAGUUCAAGUUUGGAGAAGCUUCUUCUGGAGAUGAUUCUGUUGAAAGUGAUACCCCCUCAGCUGAAGGAGAAGAUAAAAAAGUUGGAAGACUUGAUUCUUCAUCCGGGAAGCACAGUAGUGGAAAGACUGACAAUCUCAGCUUUGGAGAUGCAGACAUUGAUAAUGAGGAUCCUAUGAAAGGAGCUCAAACUCCCAAGCAAAAUGAAGAUUCCUCUCUGUCCGAAGCUAAAUCAAAGAAAGAGUCACAUUCUGCCUUUGCUGGGACUACAUCUAAAGAGGACUCUCAUAGCAAUCAUGGUUCGCUCAUUCAAACUACUAUAUCUACAUUGUUUAAGAAAGUGGAGAAGAAGAAAGUGGACUCCAGCAUGCAAAGUCAAGUACAGCUUCCCUCUUCACAGGUUCAUAAAACACCAAAAGGCCCAAGGAAACCUGCAUCUCCCAAAGAUUCUGGCCAGAAGCCGCACCAAACGGAUUCAAGGAAGAAGGUUAAUCUGGAUGCAGGACCCAGGAAAAAGGCAAAAACUGCCAAGGAAAAGGAUGCGGGAGGCAAAAGCCUGGCAAAGAAGAAAAAAAAUGAGAUGGGGGUGGAGAUGGAAAGAUUGAAAAGAAGAGGGAAGUGGUUUAUCAGAGGGCAUCUCUAGCCAUGAUGAGGUUGAAGAGGAUGAUAUUGAAGAAAGCACCUCACAAUCGCAGGAUACGGAUCUUAGUGAUGAAGAUUGGGCUGCUUGAGGUCAGUGAUCUCACAAAUUGACACAUUGCCAUGUAUUGCUAUUUUCACUCACAUCAAACAUUAUUGUUCGGUUGUAGCGUCGUGACAUUUAAGUAAAAGUGUUCUUGAUGAUUUGGAUAGGCCUUGCCUUGUAUUGGAGAAAAGUUGAAGCAUCGGCUUCUGGACGUGGGUCCAAUUCCGAGUUGUGGUUCAGGAACUAAAAUUAAGGGAUCAUUGCUCCAUGUAAUCAUAAGUUGAGCAUUAAAGUAAACUGUACAAGGCAUUUGAAAGCGGUUUUUACCAUUUACUGAGCUACAAAUAUAUUUAGUAUAAAAAAAAAUGAGUUGA